GCAUAUCAAUAAGCGGAGGAAAAGAAACCAACAGGGAUUGCCCUAGUAACGGCGAGUGAAGCGGCAACAGCUCAAAUUUGAAAUCUGGCGCAAGCCCGAGUUGUAAUUUGUAGAGGAUGCUUCUGGGCAGCGGCCGGUCUAAGUUCCUUGGAACAGGACGUCACAGAGGGUGAGAAUCCCGUAUGCGACCGGUUGGCACCCGUCACGUAGCUCCUUCGACGAGUCGAGUUGUUUGGGAAUGCAGCUCUAAAUGGGAGGUAAAUGCCUUCUAAAGCUAAAUACCGGCUGGAGACCGAUAGCGCACAAGUAGAGUGAUCGAAAGAUGAAAAGCACUUUGGAAAGAGAGUUAAAAAGCACGUGAAAUUGUUGAAAGGGAAGCGCAUGCAACCAGACUUGUCGGCGGUGUUCCGCCGGUCUUCUGACCGGUCUACUCGCCGUCGGCAGGCCAGCAUCAUCUGGGCGCGCCGGACAAAGGCGUCGGGAAUGUGGCUCCCUCGGGAGUGUUAUAGCCCGGCGUGCAAUACGGCGCCGCCCGGGUGAGGUCCGCGCUUCGGCUAGGAUGCUGGCGUAAUGGUUGUCUGCGACCCGUCUUGAAACACGGACCAAGGAGUCUAACAUCUGUGCGAGUGUUCGGGUGUCAAACCCCUACGCGUAAUGAAAGUGAACGGAGGUGGGAACCGCAAGGUGCACCAUCGACCGAUCCUGAUGUCCUCGGAUGGAUUUGAGUAAGAGCAUAGCUGUUGGGACCCGAAAGAUGGUGAACUAUGCCUGAAUAGGGUGAAGCCAGAGGAAACUCUGGUGGAGGCUCGCAGCGGUUCUGACGUGCAAAUCGAUCGUCAAAUUUGGGUAUAGGGGCGAAAGACUAAUCGAACCAUCUAGUAGCUGGUUCCUGCCGAA
rnacentral:rRNA from 1 species